rnacentral:rRNA from 1 species
CAAGUAUUAAAGGUCCCGCCUGCCCAGUGAUAUUAUAUUUAACGGCCGCGGUACUCUGACCGUGCGAAGGUAGCGUAAUCACUUGCCCUCUAAUUAGGGGCCAGUAUGAAAGGCCAAAUGAGGGUCCACCUGUCUCUUGUAGCACGAUAAUGAAACUGAUCUCCUAGUACAAAAGCUAGGAUACCCCCAUAAGACGAGAAGACCCUGUGGAGCUUAUAAAUACCGUUGCUAAGCCUAAUCUAACCAGGCCUAAAUAGCAACAUUUUUUAGUUGGGGCAACUAUGGAGUAAAACAAAACCUCCACGCCAACAACUCACAUCUUUAACCCAGGCCCACAAGCCAAAACCAAAAAAAGACCCAGCACCGCUGACCAUCGAACCAAGUUACCCCAGGGAUAACAGCGCCAUCCUCUUCUAGAGUCCAUAUCGCCAAGAGGGCUUACGACCUCGAUGUUGGAUCAGGAUCCCCCAGUGGUGCAGCCGCUACUGAAGGUCCGUUUGUUCAACGGUUAAA